rnacentral:rRNA from 1 species
CGCCCGUCGCUCCUACCGAUUGGAUGUGCUGGUGAAGCGUUCGGAUUGGUGGCAGGGGACGGUUUCCGUUGCCUGCCGCCGAAAAGUUCGUUGAACCCUCCCAUCUAGAGGAAGGAGAAGUCGUAACAAGGUUUCC